rnacentral:rRNA from 1 species
AUUUCGAUAAGGCAGAUAGAGAGAGCUCGAGCGGCGGAGGGGGAGGGCGAUUCCGUCUGUUCAUGGCGAUUCUAAGCUCAUCCACCACAGGAUUUUGAUUUCUUCUCCUUUUCUUCUUCGUCCCCCAGCUCCCCUGGUUGGUUGUCCUUGUCUCUCGCGUUUUGCUCGUGCUCUCGUGGCUGUGUAGUCCCAGAUCUAGGUGAUUUUUGGUUUCGCGGAUCAGUGGUAGGUGAACUUUUUUAUCCGCGGCGAGGUGCAUGUUGCUGCCGUGGUGUUCUAGUCCGCCAUGGUUGUGCGCCUGAGUUUUUGUAGGAGCUUGCAGCGCGCCAUAGUCCUCCAUGCCGUGGUCUUGUGUUUUUUGUUGCGGACGUAGGCCAAUUCCCGCCCGGUUUGGAUUCCGUAGGCCAUUUCCCUGGGCAGUGUUCUGCUGUUGAUUUGGACGUACGCGUAGACGUAAGCUCUCUGUUGUUGAUGUGUAGGUAGGCGUGUAGGCAUUAGUUUUCAGCGGUGGAUCCCGUGGCUUGACUUCUGAAGAUCGAGUUCUGGUUGUUCUGUAUUGGGUUGUAGUUGUAGUUGUAGCCCCUGAUUUUACUCAUGUUUUUGUUCCAUGUUGUUUUAUCCCGCUGGUUACUGAAUUUCUCUGUUUCGACGUUCCAUUCUCUGUACCUACCUGAAUUUUAUGCUUCUUUUUUCAGUGUUCCCCCAUAAUAAGAGUGUAUGUUACACUGAGAUUUACCUAGUAUUGUAUUGUACCCUAUUAGCUGCAGUAUAGCUUCAUUGUACCUUGUCAUGUAUAGCUUCACUGCAACCUCAUGCUUUUCAGUGUUUUUGCCAUAGUUUCAGUGUUGAUUGCAUGAGGAUUCCUUUUUCUUGUUGAUUGUUUGGUCCAGUAGCACUGAUAUAGCUCUGAAUUUACAGCUGGCAUUGGUGUGUUAGUAGCAUUGGUCCUGUAGCAUUGGACUAGCUCUGAAUUCACUCUGUAUUUGUAACUCUGAUCUACAAUGUAGUUCAACUAGUUCUACUUUUGUUUUUUUAGUCUGUAUUGUGUCUCUGAAUUUGACUGCAAUGGCCCCAGUUGUGUUAUACUGUAUCUCUGAAAUUACUCUGUAAUGUGUAUCUGAAUUUCACUUGUAAUCCAUCAAGUUGUUAUUACGUAAAUUAUCUCUGAAGUACACUGUAAUGCGCCAGAACUACAGUCUAAUGUAUCUCUAAUUUUUUCUGAAUUUCACUGUAAUGUUAUCUGCAUCUCUAAAUUACAGUCUAAUACGCCAGUUGUGUUAUGUAAUUUGCAUCAGUAUUUAUAGUGUAAGUCCCACAGUUUUUGGGUGUAAAUUGUAUCAGCAUUUGCAGUGUCAUUCAUGCCUUUUUUAUUACUUUGUAAUUUGCAUCAGUAUUAUAGUGUAAUCUCCUCAGUUUUUUUACUGUAAUUUUGCAUCCAGCCUUAUUUGGUGUGUAAUGCCCCUCCAGUGUAAUUUGGACCAGUAUUACGGUGUAAUUUUCCAUAUUCUUUUACUGUAAUUUGCCUGAAUUUUAUAGUGUAAGUUGGAUCAGUAUUAUAGCGUAAGUAAUGUGUGUAGUUUGUUUCAGUUCUUCAGUGUAAUUACUGCUCUGAUUACUCUGUAAUUUUGAUCAGCAAUAUACUGUAAUUUGCUUCAAAUUUUUUUAAAUUCCUGCCUUGAUGUUACUGUCCAAUUUGCAUUAGUUUUAUAGUGUAAUUUGCACCAGUAUUACAGUGUAAUUUUCCAUAGUAUUUCAGGUAAUUGUCGCAAAUUACUCUGUAAGUUGGGUUAGUAUUACAAUGUAAUUUUCCAUAAUCUUUCAGUGUAAUUUCCAUAAGUUCUAUAGUGUAAUUUGCACCAGUA